GCCAGCGUAGCCUUGAAAAUGCCAAGAACGGAUUCAAAAUCCGCCGCUUAAUAGGCGUGUCGGUUCGAGUCCGACCACCGGCACCA
rnacentral:tRNA from 1 species